GAUGAACGCUGGCGGCGUGCUUAACACAUGCAAGUCGAACGAGUGGCGAACGGGUGAGUAACACGUGGGUGAUCUGCCUUGCACUUCGGGAUAAGCUUGGGAAACUGGGUCUAAUACCGGAUAGUGCAAGAUGAGCUCGCGGCCUAUCCUCUUGUUGGUGGGGUAAUGGCUACCAAGGCGCGACGGGUAGCCGGCCUGAGAGGGUGUACGGCAACAUUGGGACUGAGAUACGGCCCAGACUCCUACGGGAGGAAGCAGUGGGGACGUUUGCACAAUGGGGGAAAGCCGGAUGCAGCGACGCCGCGGGAUUUAGAAGGUCUUCGGGUUGUAAAAAUCUUUUCUAUGGGAAGCAGUACCUUAGGAAUAAGGCCCGGCUAAUUACGUGCCAGCAGCCGCGGUAAUUC
rnacentral:rRNA from 1 species